rnacentral:rRNA from 1 species
AUGCAAACGAGUGAACAUACCAACAGGAAGGUUAUGGCGAUAAUGGCGUUCUUUCGAGGAAGAGGUCUUUCUUCACUGCCAUAUACAGCAAAGAAGAUUAGCAACAUGGGCACGAAAAUGAGAAGAGAUAACGGAAUGAAUGACAUGAUGCAAGUGGUCUCAUUUUUUGAACAGAAAAAGUCAGAAGAUCCUCUAUUCUUCUACUCAUUCAAAACAGAUCCAGCUAAGAACGUCAUGCAUAUAUUUUGGGCAGACGGCACUGGUAUAAGGAACUAUCAACAAUAUGGUGAUCUCCUAAGUUUUGACACAACUUACAAAACAAAUAAGUAUAACCUGAAGUUUGCUCCAUUUGUGGGUGUAAAUGGACACGGAGACAACUGCCUCUUUGCAUGUGGUUUUAUACAAGAUGAGAAGAAAGAAACUUUUGAGUGGUUGUACAAAACUUUUCUGAAGUGCAUGGGAGGAAAAGCUCCAAAAUCUGUGAUAACAGAUCAAGAUGCAGCUAUGAAAAAGGCAGUUCCUAAGUGUUUUCCUAGUUGCACGCACAGGAACUGUUUGUUUCACAUUCUAACAAAAGCGCAGAACAAAGCUAGGAGAACAUUUGCAAGGAAUGAGCAUUUCAAUGCUCAGUUUCACGACAUAAUCCUAAACUCACAAACAGUUGAGGAGUUCGAGCACCUCUGGCCCCAGAUGAUACAGCAACACAAUGUUCAACAUAUCAAGUACUUUGGGAUUAUGUGGAAAAACAGAAAGAGAUUUGUACCUGCGUACUUCAAGAAUGACUUUUUCCCGUUCAUCCAGUCAACAGCAAGAAGUGAAGGUACAAAUGCUGUAUUCAAAGCAAAUGUAGGGUCAAGUCAUAGUGUGAUUGCUUUCAUGACAGAGUUUGACAGGAUAUCACAGAGCAUU